UAAGAUUAUACAACUUCACAGUAACAAUUGGUAAUAAAUACGUUCAAUGCGUUAAGUUGGUCAGGUAUGUAUUUUGAGAUUAUAUUUAAGUUUGAUUUAGACUAAAUCACAAGGUCGUUAUGUGAUGCACAUGUGAGUAAAGCAAUAAGACUGUUCUAUGAUUAUUGUGCAUUUGGUCAAUGUAGAAAGUCAGGAAAAAAAAAUAUGUAAUGUACCCAUGAUCAUAAGAGGUCACUAUCAAGUGAGAAUUUAUCUGCCU
rnacentral:lncRNA from 1 species